rnacentral:rRNA from 1 species
UACGGAGGGUGCAAGCGUUAUCCGGAUUUACUGGGUUUAAAGGGUGCGUAGGUGGGUAGGAAAGUCAGUGGUGAAAUCUUCGGGCUUAACCCGGAAACUGACCAUUGAUACUAUUUAUCUUGAAUACUUUGGAGGUAAGCGGAAUAUGUCAUGUAGCGGUGAAAUGGCUUAGAUAUGACAUAGAACACCAAUUGCGAAGGCAGCUUACUACACAGUUAUUGACACUGAGGCAACGAAAGCGUGGGGAUCAAACAGG